UGUCUCACAGUUGCCUGGGUGCCAGCUGCACAGCCUGACUUCUGUGAGUGAGGGCAGAGCCGAAAAGAACAAAAGAUUUCCAGUUCAAGCCAGGCUUAAUGGGAGAGGCAUUGCAACCCUCUGGUGAGACUGCAUACUGUGAUUUCUGCAAAACCAGGCAAGUCACACACUUGUAAUGGGUCACUGGGACGUGCGCAGAUGGAAACAGAAAAUGUUUCCUCCUCAGCCCCCACCCUUUCCUAGACCAGCUUUUUGUGUUUUCUUUUCUUUCUUUUCAUUGCCUAUCUGCUCACAGUGCACUCCACUAGUCUGAAAGAUGGGGAAGAAGUACAUCUGGCCAAGUGUUUACAAUGACAUUUGUAGAGGGUCGCCCAUAUGAAAUGCGCUGUUGGGAAGAUCCAUUGUCAGGAUCCAACAUGCAAAUACAAGUGUGGCAGCCUGGAAAGGUGUUGUCCCUUUCCUGAAUACGCAUACCACUGGUGGAGGACCACUCUGUUUUCCUAGAGCACUACCCAGGUUCUACUGUUGUCCAUGGAGUCUUUAAACUGCAUGGUUUAGGAGUGUGACUGCUGCAAAAAAGGUUUGACUCCAGAGCAAAGUUGUGAGAGUUGCGCUACUCCCCACCCCCAAAAUCAUAGAAUCAUAGAAUGUUUUGGGAUGGAAGGGGCCUUAAAGAUCAUCUAGUUCCACCCCCACACCUUCCCCCCCAUCAUAAGCAGGGACACCUUUCUCUAGAAUCCUAGAGGUACUUGGUUGUAGACUUUGGUGGGGAUAUAUCAGUUAGACUAUUAGAGCCCUGGUUUAGUUCCAGGUCUGGAAAAUGCUCUGAGAUCCCACCUGUCCCGAUCUUUUGUGGCAUUUAAUGCACCGGAGUGCAAUCACACUAUUUAUUGCACUCUUUCUCCAAACUUCCCAGCCAGAAUCCUUGCUGUUCCAAGUACUGCAGACUACAUGAGGCAUCCAUAAUCCAACUUCUGUGCUUCUGUGCUGUCUCAUGGAAGCUCUGGACUUGCCCUGUAUCCUAGCACAACAUUAGUGCUAAGGCGAGAAGGAAAGUAAUUGCCUCCAGGCAUUUUUUUGUCAGCCUGUGCAAUUCUUACAGAGCUCUUGGCUUUGCAUAUUAUGAAGACAGACAGGGAGACAGGCGUGAUGUAUCUGUGUGACAAGGGUGGGGGCAGCAGCUCCAGACAGCGCUCUGCUUAAUUGGUUUCCUUCCUUUUCCACUGUAUUAAUCACCUCCAUGUACAUGCUGCCCAGGGCUCAUUUCCAGUCAUUUUGCAGACCUACUGAGAGGGCCAUGGAGCAGCCCAGGAAUGGAUUGCUUCCCAGCAGUCCCUGGGCAGAGGAACAGGUCCCUUUUUCUACAGCAGCCUACUUUCCACCCAGUCCCUCUUUGAUGCUCGUUAAUGGAGAAGGAGGUGAGCAUGAAAUGGACUGCUAAAACCUAUGAAUAUUUCAGAGGAAAAAGUCAAGGGACUCCAUUAAAUCCUGUUCAGUUUCUGCAAAUGGAGCUGGGGGGCUGGUGUGCUGCUUAAUGAGAAACUCCAGCACCAUAUGACACAUGAUGCUUUCCAAAGCCUCCUUUUUGCAGAGUCCCCAUAGAGUCACCCAACACUGCUGCCAUCCUCUCCUUUUCCAGACAAGUCCUACAUCUCUGUGUCAGCCAUGUCUCCUGCUGCCUCAGCCUGCCCCUACAUACCCUCCCUGAUAUUCACCACUUAGUUGUCCUCAGAUGUACCUCUUCCCCCUCUCACACCCAUAGUGUAAGGGAAUCCCCCUGAGCUGCCCAGCAUUCCAAUAUCCUACAGCAGCCCACCAGCUACCAGCACACUGUUUACCAGCAUCCUUCCCAGCUCACCUGCUAUCUUCCCCCAGCCCCUUCCCAAGUACCCAUCCUGAUCACAGCCUCCUCCAGACAGCUGCUGCCCCCCCAUAAGCAAACAGCAAGAGCGGCAGCAGCUUUCAGAGCAACAGACAGAGUCUGACAGCCCCAUAUGUUUCAACAGAGACAGUUCCUCCCUCUAAUGGGCCCAGAGGAGUGCGGCUUUCAAAGGAUUCAACAUGGAAGUGACAGGCUGGAAACUCUUAUUAAUGGUCUGUGCGCCAGCGAGGAACCGCAAGCAGCAUGUGCCAACAGCCCAGAGGCCACGGCCAGGCAGAGCCAGCCCUCCCCAGCCACCAGCAUCCAGCCACAGCCCAUAGGCUGGGGUCUGCCUCAGAGGGAGAAAGACCCAAGAAGGAAAGACUCAGGACCUAGGCAAACAUAAGGAAGGAGCCUCUGCCCUACAGCACCUACAGUGAAAUAAUCUCCACACUUAAACAAUGAGCUGCUGCACAGACAGGUGUUGAAUGAGGCUUCAUUGAAAUUUAAACCACAGACAGUACACAGAUAAAUGGCCAAGGAUGGGGACACCCAGUCCCCGGAGGGGGGAAAAUGAAAUUUUCCAUUAGACCUCACCUCAAGUGAGAGAAACUGGUUCUUCCUCUCCAUCUCAGGGUCCUAAGGAUGGUCACAAAAAUCUUCAGCAGAGGACUGUCUCAAUGUAAGAAAAGCAUAAUUAUGGGCUUAGCAGAAAGAGGCCUCAUCAGUGGUUUUCAGUUCACCUCAAUUAACUCUUCCUUGUUAUCCAUCCACCAAUGACCUGUACCCUUCCUCUCUCUCACCACAGAUAACGAAUCUCUCUCUUGGCUUAGCAUCCAUCCAUUGCUCCUGAAGUUCUAAUUACAUUUUACUCAUAACUUGUUUAAUCAACUACCAUAAUUAAAUUAAGCAGUGCCUUUUUACCUAUAUGCAGCUUGUAGUUUGGGUUGUAGGUUGAUGCAUUUGCGGAGACCCAAGCAUCCCAGUCUGUCUUGUACAGGCUACCACCUCUCUGCAAACCCUGCCUCUCAGCCACAGUGUUGUUCCUCUGAAAGAAAUGGGUUUUCAUUUCCUUUCUUCUCUUAUUAUUAAUGUUCACAGUUUCAUGCCAAGCUAGAGGAAAAUUAUUUCCUCUUUAAAAGUAGCCCUACAUGGAGAAAAAUAAUUCCAUUUUUAAUAAACAAAAGUGAUCUUAGGUACAGAAGUGCAUAAUUUUCUUUUGCUUUUUCCGUUCAUCAUCAACAAGGGAGUAGCCCUGUUCAGACUUGAUGCCAGCUCUGUAUACUAAUAAAAAUGGACAAAGUGUUGUAGAUUAGGAGACUAAAAAUGUCUGUUACAGAGUGCUUC